UACCAUUUAGGGGUUAAGGAGUGGAGUUUUGCUUUUCUUUUUGGGUUUUUUUCUUCAUUCUGUGAACUAGCUAAUUGUAAAGGAGUUAGUAUAAAAAUUCAUCUUUAUUAGUAAUCAAUUUAUCAAUAAAUUAUAUCCAUCACAGUUGCUUGAUAACAUUCAAAGAUGUGAGACUCAUACUGAAAUCUUCACUAAAGGAGCUGGGUUUAAGUUAAAGUCUUGGUGAUCAUAAAUGUUGAAUUAUUUGUUCUACAAGCAUCAGUAUAAAAACUAAAUUACUAGUAUCACUGUUUAGAUAUUGGAAUAUUUAAAUUUUUAUUUUAAUUUCUUUCCUAAACUGGAGAGAAAAGACCCUUAAAUAAUGGUCCUUCCCAAGGGAAACCUAGUAUAUAUUUGGAGAAAGGAUUCAUUUAUUAUUGGCAUGCUUAGUUUUAAACCUCAGUUUGGCAAAGUAAACUUUUUUUUUUAAUUAGAAAUAAAAUCGAUUUUCUGAUGGUGGGGAAAAAAUAAGCUUAACAACAGAUGUUAUCCUUCUGUGAGUUAUUCUAGUUGCUUCUAUUUGAAUCUUGGCAAAUUAAGACAUCCAUAUCUCAAACUAAGUCAUCUCUUAGACACUGGGAGUUAAAAUAGCAUUUAUGUAAUGGCUUUAAAACUAUGUAAAAAGCCCAGAUUGUUUUUCCUGAAUCACCAUUAGUGGUUGGAAGGUAAGAUAGUUAGUAAUAGUAACGUAAAUGAAAGAGAAUUCCAAGGUAAAAGUAUUUCAUAAAACUACUAAUAAGUAUUGUCUAACUCCUUGUAUAAUUUAGUGACGUAAGAUUAUAAAUUACAGUGUGAUUCUCAUGGAUAUACUUGUGAGAGGCCUUGUGAAACUCUAUGGACCAGUGAAUGUUCACAUUCCACAGCAACAUAUUGACCAAAAAAUACCAGGCCAGUGUGAACUGUGGAGAAACUUUCUUUUUCUGAAUAGUUAUUUACAAGAAAAGUAUUUAUUAAUAAAGUUAAUUAUAAGCAAUAUUUCACAUAUAUACUUUGUUCUUUAGCAGUGAUGAUAUAAUGAGAAGGAAAAUAUGAAGUUCAAAACCUCAACUCUCUUUCCUAUGCUCUACCCCCACCUCCAGUAUGGUAUUUUUUAGAAGAUAGUAGGAGAAGCUUCGUUUUGAGCAUAUGCAUGAAAACAAGGUUAAUCAGGUCAUACAACAUAAUUCAACUAUUUAUCAUUUACAGUGUUUUUAGAAUUGACCUCUAAUAUGUAUAUGUUUUUAUUAGAUCUUUAAAUAGUUAUUUAUAAAUCUUUAGUUUAACUUCAAAUAGAAGUUUUGCUGACA
rnacentral:lncRNA from 1 species